AACGAACGCUGGCGGCGCGUUUUAAGCAUGCAAGUCGAAGGAUGCGAUUUUAGCAAUAGAGUCGUAGACUGGCGAACGGGUGAGUAACACGUGAAAAUCUAUCUUAAGAUGGGGGAUAGUCGGUAGAAAUACCGGGUAAUACCGCAUGUGCCGAGAGGUGAAAGCUCCAAUUGGAGCGUCUUUAGAUGAGUUUGCGUUCCAUUAGCUAGUUGGUGGGUAAUGGCCUACCAAGGCGACGAUGGAUAGCCGGCCUGAGAGGGUGUACGGCCACAUUGGGACUGAGACACGGCCCAGACUCCUACGGGAGGCAGCAGCUAAGAAUAUUCCGCAAUGGGAGCAAUCCUGACGGAGCGACGCCGCGUGUAUGAUGAAGGCAGAAAUGUUGUAAAGUACUUUUGCGCGGGAAGAAUAAUGAUAGGAGUGGAAAGUCUAUCAGAUGACGGUACCGCGCGAAUAAGCCACGGCUAACUACGUGCCAGCAGCCGCGGUAAAACG
rnacentral:rRNA from 1 species